GAAAUCAGCAAGGGGAAAGCCAUAGUUAGGGUUUUUAAGCUUUCAAGCUCAAUAAUCAAUAAAGACGAGAAGACUACCUCAAACGGGGAAAAGAGAAAGUAGUGGAGUAAAUUGCAAAAUUUCGAUAUUUUGCACCGAGUGAUUUCCAUCAACUCGGAAUUGGGACGGAGUCAGACAAUCAUCUACACUAUCAUCCACGUUUGGAUAUUUUGCUACUAGUAUUCCGGAAAUUAUGGCAUGUAUAGACGACUUAUGUAAUGGGGCGUCACCAUGUAAAUAUAUGUUAUGGUUCGAUUUAAAAUGUAGU